AUAAACAUAUAUAAAGCGUACGUGAGAAAUUUUGACGAACAUUUUAUGAUAAGUUUGACAUUGAAAGAUUUUAAAACGUUAAUUUUGAUUUAAAAUGUUCACAAAACAACUUCUUCGUGUUUUAAGAGCUCCAGCUCUCCAAACACGCAAUGCAUCCAGUUUCAAUAAGUUCCCAACUAUGAAAGUGAAACCAUUUGGUGUUGAUGGGAACGUGAUGUUGGCAAUUGGAACUAUCUCACUCAUAGCAUCCACAUACAUUGUCCAAAAGAGCGGUUACCUUAUCCCACAAACUCCUGGUGUUGGCUUCAACUAUAAGAAGCUUGACAUUGACCUAACAACACCAAUUGAACCAAAGCCAGCCAGUGAUCGACAAAAAUAAACAAUCUUUGAAUCCAGUAUUUAUGUAACAUCAUGUACCUUUGGUUUUUGAAAUGAAUUAAAAUUUAAUCAUGAAUUCU